rnacentral:rRNA from 1 species
UACAGAGGUCUCAAGCGUUUGUUCGGAUUCAUUGGGCGUAAAGGGUGCGUAGGCGGCGCGGUAAGUCGGGUGUGAAAUCUUGGAGCUUAACUCCGAAACUGCAUUCGAUACUGCCGUGCUUGAGGACUGGAGAGGAGACUGGAAUUUACGGUGUAGCGGUGAAAUGCGUAGAUAUCGUAAGGAAGACCAGUGGCGAAGGCGAGUUUCUGGACAGUUACUGACGCUGAGGCACGAAGGCCAGGGGAGCAAACGGG